UACCUCAGCAACCGGCUGCUGGCACCCAGCGACUCGCCAGAGUGGUUAUCUUUUGAUGUCACCGGAGUUGUGCGGCAGUGGUUGAGCCGCGGAGGGGAAAUUGAGGGCUUUCGCCUUAGCGCCCACUGCUCCUGUGACAGCAGGGAUAACACACUGCAAGUGGACAUCAACGCUCCACGGAGAAGAACUGCUGCGUGCGGCAGCUGUACAUUGACUUCCGCAAGGACCUCGGCUGGAAGUGGAUCCACGAGCCCAAGGGCUACCAUGCCAACUUCUGCCUCGGGCCCUGCCCCUACAUUUGGAGCCUGGACACGCAGUACAGCAAGGUACGUCUGGCCCACCGGGCUACGAGAUGCGCUUGGGGGGAGCCAGGACGGAGGAAGAGGAGAGAGAAAGAGA
rnacentral:sRNA from 1 species